GGAGGAAUGGUUAUCUCUCAUUGCAGAGUCAAGAAGAGACUCCUACAUUACAAUAACAAAAAUAAUAUCCUAAAGAUUUUGUGCGAUUUCCCUCUAUACCGGAAAAGAGAAACAAACAAAAAGGAAUAGCCAAUCAGCAUUAUAAAAGCUCAAACCACACUUCUCUACUGUGAUCUCAGAGGAUGUUGCCAUUUUCUUGAAGUUGCACUGUGGAUGAAAAGACAGUGACUGAGCCUGCACAUUCCAGAUGCAUGUGCAUUUGCUAGCGCUAAGACAAGCAUCUAGAUUAAAUCAUUAAAAGUCCCUCUACAGUGGAAUGUGGUUACUGGUGAUAUUCAAAUGAAAAGAAAAUAUAUCUUCUUUUUUUCUUUUUUUUUUUUUUUAUAAAAAGUUAAAAAAAUCAUGCAAAAUUUUCUAGUCAGCUUUAUUACUUUCAAACAAUGCAGCAUAUGAGUGACAUGUCCUUUUAAACUUAUAAAAAUACUGUAUUUUAUUAUUUACCUGUCAAAACUAGAUAUUUUUUUUAAGUAGACAACCCAAGCUAUUGAUCUAGGCCCAUUUUGGUAUAUUCCAUUCCACAGCGAAAUGUGAUCAAAUAAAAAAAUGGUUAACUUGUUCACAAA